rnacentral:rRNA from 1 species
CAGCCGCCGCGGUAAUACGGAGGGUGCAAGCGUUAAUCGGAAUUACUGGGCGUAAAGCGCACGCAGGCGGUCUGACAAGUCAGAUGUGAAAUCCCCGGGCUUAACCUGGGAACUGCAUUUGAAACUGUCAGGCUGGAGUCUUGUAGAGGGGGGUGGAAUUCCAGGUGUAGCGGUGAAAUGCGUAGAGAUCUGGAGGAAUACCGGUGGCGAAGGCGGCCCCCUGGACAAAGACUGACGCUCAGGUGCGAAAGCGUGGGGAGCAAACAGGAUUAGAUACCCGCGUAGUCCCUGUUCUUAUACA